GCGACCCCAGGAUGGGCGAGGCCACCCGCCAGAGUUUAA
rnacentral:rRNA from 1 species